rnacentral:rRNA from 1 species
UGUAAAGUACUUUCAGCGGGGAGGAAGGCGAUAAGGUUAAUAACCUUGUCGAUUGACGUUACCCGCAGAAGAAGCACCGGCUAACUCCGUGCCAGCAGCCGCGGUAAUACGGAGGGUGCAAGCGUUAAUCGGAAUUACUGGGCGUAAAGCGCACGCAGGCGGUCUGUCAAGUCGGAUGUGAAAUCCCCGGGCUCAACCUGGGAACUGCAUUCGAAACUGGCAGGCUAGAGUCUUGUAGAGGGGGGUAGAAUUCCAGGUGUAGCGGUGAAAUGCGUAGAGAUCUGGAGGAAUACCGGUGGCGAAGGCGGCCCCCUGGACAAAGACUGACGCUCAGGUGCGAAAGCGUGGGGAGCAAACAGGAUUAGAUACCCCGGUAG